AACGCACAUUGCGCCCUUUGGUAUUCCGAAGGGCAUGCCUGUUCGAGCGUCAUUAUCACCCCUCAAGCCCCGUGCUUGGUGUUGGACGGCCGGUCGAGCGAUCGACCCCUCCUAAAGACAAUGACGGCGACCUGUGGUUCCCCCGGUACACUGAGCUUUUAACUGAGCACGUAUCGGACAAGGGCACCCGGGACCCGGUCCUCUCCUUUAACUAGGAAACUUCUAAGGUUGACCUCGGAUCAGGUAGGAAUACGCGCUGAACUUAA
rnacentral:misc_RNA from 1 species